CAUCAGUUUUAAAAAGCUCGAUU
rnacentral:snRNA from 1 species